rnacentral:lncRNA from 1 species
CAUCCAACGCGAGUUUUUCAUAUUGAAAUUUUCCACAACUCUUACAUCUUGCAUUAAGCCGUCGUCUGACACGUAAACGGUGCAUUAAAGUUCAGAGUCUGUGUUGAACAUAUUCUGCCCAUCAUGGCCCUCACUUUAUCGUGUGUUGUAUUUUCCUUUUUUCUGGCCCCCAGUUUUUUUGGAAUUGUUACUGCUCCGCUGGCUGUAAAGAUAGAUGUUCGAGAACCAUUUCGGACUGAAUUGUUCCAGUAUUUAAGGGAAAUCAGUGCGCUGGCUCUGGCACUAUGAACUGUCAAGUUGCAUGGAGCCAAUUGGGUGAUUUUAGAUGUCAAGCAGCAUUGAAUAAUUUCAACGCUCUCAAUGAUGAUGAAAAGUCUCUGUGUCCAAAUGCUAAAAAGGGUUUCUGUAGAUUCACCGAUUACAACUGCGUCGUUUUAGUGCCGAUGCCGGAAGAAGAUGGAGCCACUGCAACUAUAUUCAAACAAGUGCCAUUGAAGAAGUGUGUAGAAAAAGUGCGUGGAUUUGCCCAGCAAUGUAGAGAAUUUAGAGAUUUCAUAGGUGCUAUAAGAACUAAAAGCAAUGAGCGAAGAUAUUUCAAAAUUUCUUCAAAAUUGGAACUGUCAAAAAUAAACUGACUAACAUUUUGUGCCGUAAUAAAUAAGCUAUUUGCUAAUUUGUCGAAACUGACUAUCAUAAUAAACCCAAUAUUUUAGAAUAAAUGCGUAAGACUGUUAACAGGAAGAUACCUCAAGGUAAGCUACUUAUUUAGAGGAGAAAAUUGUAUUUUACGGGCUCAGUAGAAAGCCUUCUCUUGGUUCCUAGAGAAUAAAUUGCGGAAGGUUUCGAACAAGUUUUGUGCCAAUCCAGGGCAUAAUAAUGCAUUAAAAUGU